UCUCGCUGUGUGUACAAGUAGUAUAUGUUUAACAGUUUAAGGCCCAUUUGCAAGUUUCGCAUAUUAAAAAGGAAUCACUAAUGUAAGGAACGCAUCAACUAUGUUCAUAGUGAGCCCCCUUUUUUAUCGGAAAGAGUAUGAUGAUUCUGGUCGGCCAUAGAGCAUGAACUCUCUCCCGUCUCCCCACCAAGCCUUUUUGACUUGGGGGAUGAGAAUUGUUAUUCAGUUUCGCAGAGCUGCUGCUCCCAAUUCACUCUGAACUAGUACUCCCGAUCGAGCCUGUAAGCCGACCAGCUUGAUCACAUGGAGUAUCUCUCCAUCUCUGUUGUAACCUGAAGGCGAGUUAAUCUGCUCCAAGAAACCAAUACUCGCUAUUGAGCCUACGGCAGGUGGUUGCAUACACAUCUGGUUUUGCUGGUGUCCUAGCAAAGCUAUCACUCAAUUCUGCCACCGGUCGGUCACAAGCACCAAGAGCUAAGGCAGCAACGAGUCUUGCCGAUGUGCACAGGAUCAGUGAUGGAAGUGUACAAUGAGGGCAGGAGCAUCUGAUUUGCAUCACAAGCCUGGGCCCUCUUUACGACGUGUAUGUCUCUCUCUCUCUUGUUUACGGUUACGUUAAGAAACAUCUGCAAGUUUUAUAAAUAUGACAUUAGUGUUGCAAAAUGAUCGAGCAGCAAAACCUACCACUGGUUUAUUUGUACACUUCGGUGUCCACAGGAUCUCCAAGCCUCAGUCUUACUUGGUUUUGUGGUUUUCGGAACUUGCUAGUAUGGUUCAUUUCAGCAAUUCUUUACGGAGACAAGAGUUGGACACUUCUCAGGGGCAGAACAUACUUGGAAGUCGAGAGAGAAGCUUCCCAUCUCGAUCCCUUGCGCAUUUGAGGCUGGGCAGCACCCGGGGACAGAGUUGAGUGAAUGAGUUCACUUCCUGCUCCGAGGAAGGAAUCGAAAUCAUCAGCAGCCUCCU